GUGCGAUGAUGUUUCGAAUUUCUUCACCUGAAUUCCUUGUGUGGAACAAAAAUGAGCUUUUUAACCCUGAGCAUC